rnacentral:rRNA from 1 species
UACGUAGGUGGCAAGCGUUGUCCGGAUUUACUGGGCGUAAGGCGUACGCAGACGGUAAGGAAGGUCGGAUGUGAAAGCCCCGGGCUCAACCCUGGAACUGCAUUCGAAACCCCCUUGCUAGAGUAUGGGAGAGGGAAGCGGAAUUCCUGGUGUAGAGGUGAAAUUCGUAGAUAUCAGGAGGAACACCGGCGGCGAAGGCGGCUUCCUGGCCCAUUUCUGACGUUCAGGUACGAAAGCGUGGGUAGCAAACAGG